rnacentral:rRNA from 1 species
UACAUUUAGUUGGGCACUCUAAUGAGACUGCCGGUGACAAACCGGAGGAAGGUGGGGAUGACGUCAAGUCCUCAUGGCCCUUAUAGGUGGGGCUACACACGUCAUACAAUGGCCGGUACAAAGGGCUGCCAACCCGCAGGGGGAGCCAAUCCCAUAAAACCGGUCGUAGUCCGGAUCGCAGUCUGCAACUCGACUGCGUGAAGUCGGAAUCGCUAGUAAUCGUGGAUCAGAAUGUCACGGUGAAUACGUUCCCGGGUCUU